GACGAACGCUGGCGGCGUGCCUAAUACAUGCAAGUAGAACGCAGUUGCGAACGGGUGAGUAACGCGUAGGUAACUGCCUCAUAGUGGGGGAUAACUAUUGGAAACGAUAGCUAAUACCGCAUACUGUGAGAUGUACCUGCGUUGUAUUAGCUAGUUGGUGAGGUAAAGGCUCACCAAGGCGACGAUACACAGCCGACCUGGAAGGGUAAUCGGCCAACCUGGGACUGGGACACGGCCCAGACUCCUACGGGAGGCAGCAGUAGUGAAUCUUCGGCAAUGGUCGAAAGUCUGACCGAGCAAAGCCGCGUGAGUGAGGAAGGUUUUCGGAUCGUAAAGCUCUGUUGUUAGAGAAGCGGUAACUAGCCAGAAAGGGACGGCUAACUACGUGCCAGCAGCCGCGGUAAUAC
rnacentral:rRNA from 1 species